rnacentral:rRNA from 1 species
CCUACGGGAGGCAGCAGUGAGGAAUAUUGGUCAAUGGCCGAGAGUCUGAACCAGCCAAGUAGCGUGAAGGAUGACGGCCCUAUGGGUUGUAAACUUCUUUUAUCUGGGAAUAAAGUGUUCCACGUGUGAGAUUUUGUAUGUACCAUUUGAAUAAGGAUCGGCUAACUCCGUGCCAGCAGCCGCGGUAAUACGGAGGAUCCGAGCGUUAUCCGGAUUUAUUGGGUUUAAAGGGAGCGUAGGUGGAUUGUUAAGUCAGUUGUGAAAGUUUGCGGCUCAACCGUAAAAUUGCAGUUGAAACUGGCAGUCUUGAGUACAGGAGAGGUGGGCGGAAUGCGUGGUGUAGCGGUGAAAUGCUUAGAUAUCACGAAGAACUCCGAUUGCGAAGGCAGCUUACUGGACUGCAACUGACACUGAGGCUCGAAAGUGUGGGUAUCAAACAGGAUUAGAUACCCUUGUAGUC